AUUGAACGCAGGCGGCAUGCUUUACACAUGCAAGUCGAACGGUAACAGGCCGCAAGGUGCUGACGAGUGGCGAACGGGUGAGUAAUGCAUCGGAACGUGCCCAGUCGUGGGGGAUAACGCAGCGAAAGCUGCGCUAAUACCGCAUACGAUCUAUGGAUGAAAGCGGGGGACCGUAAGGCCUCGCGCGAUUGGAGCGGCCGAUGUCAGAUUAGGUAGUUGGUGGGGUAAAGGCUCGCCAAGCCAACGAUCUGUAGCUGGUCUGAGAGGACGACCGGCCACACUGGGACUGAGACACGGCCAAGACUCCUACGGGAGGCAGCAGUGGGGAAUUUUGGACAAUGGGCGCAAGCCUGAUCCAGCAAUGCCGCGUGCAGGAAGAAGGCCUUCGGGUUGUAAACUGCUUUUGUACGGAACGAAACGGUCCUGGUUAAUACCUGGGGCUAAUGGCGGUACCGUAAGAAUAAGCACCGGCUAACUACGUGCCAGCCGCCGCCGUAACAC
rnacentral:rRNA from 1 species